rnacentral:rRNA from 1 species
ACGCACGCUGGCGGCGUGCUUAACACCUGCCAGUCGAACGCUGAAGCUCAGCUUUUGUUGGGUGGAUGAGUGGCGAACGGGUGAGUAACACGUGAGUAACCUGCCCCCUUCUUUGGGAUAACGCCCGGAAACGGGUGCUAAUACUGGAUAUUCACUGGUCUUCGCAUGGGGGUUGGUGGAAAGGGUUUUUCUGGUGGGGGAUGGGCUCGCGGCCUAUCAGCUUGUUGGUGGGGUGAUGGCCUACCAAGGCUUUGACGGGUAGCCGGCCUGAGAGGGUGACCGGUCACAUUGGGACUGAGAUACGGCCCAGACUCCUACGGGAGGCAGCAGUGGGGAAUAUUGCACAAUGGGCGCAAGCCUGAUGCAGCGACGCCGCGUGAGGGAUGGAGGCCUUCGGGUUGUGAACCUCUUUCGCUCAUGGUCAAGCCGCAACAAUGGUUGUGGUGAGGGUAGUGGGUAAAGAAGCGCCGGCUAACUACGU